rnacentral:tRNA from 1 species
GCCCCCGUAGCUCAGUGGAUAGAGCAGGCGCCUUCUAAGCGCUUGGCCGCAGGUUCGAGUCCUGCCGGGGGCGCACCACCC